rnacentral:rRNA from 1 species
GACGAACGCUGGCGGCGUGCUUAACACAUGCAAGUCGAACGGAAAGGCCCUGCUUUUGUGGGGUGCUCGAGUGGCGAACGGGUGAGUAACACGUGAGUAACCUGCCCUUGACUUUGGGAUAACUUCAGGAAACUGGGGCUAAUACCGGAUAGGAGCUCCUGCUGCAUGGUGGGGGUUGGAAAGUUUCGGCGGUUGGGGAUGGACUCGCGGCUUAUCAGCUUGUUGGUGGGGUAGUGGCUUACCAAGGCUUUGACGGGUAGCCGGCCUGAGAGGGUGACCGGCCAGAUUGGGACUGAGAUACGGCCCAGACUCCUACGGGAGGCAGCAGUGGGGAAUAUUGCACAAGGGGCGGAAGCCUGAUGCAGCAACGCCGCGUGCGGGAUGACGGCCUUCGGGUUGUAAACCGCUUUCGCCUGUGACGAAGCGUGAGUGACGGUAAUGGGUAAAGAAGCACCGGCUAACUACGU